CUCAGGAUGAACGCUGGCGGCGUGCCUAAUACAUGCAAGUCGAGCGAAUGGAUUAAGAGCUUGCUCUUAUGAAGUUAGCGGCGGACGGGUGAGUAACACGUGGGUAACCUGCCCAUAAGACUGGGAUAACUCCGGGAAACCGGGGCUAAUACCGGAUAACAUUUUGAACCGCAUGGUUCGAAAUUGAAAGGCGGCUUCGGCUGUCACUUAUGGAUGGACCCGCGUCGCAUUAGCUAGUUGGUGAGGUAACGGCUCACCAAGGCAACGAUGCGUAGCCGACCUGAGAGGGUGAUCGGCCACACUGGGACUGAGACACGGCCCAGACUCCUACGGGAGGCAGCAGUAGGGAAUCUUCCGCAAUGGACGAAAGUCUGACGGAGCAACGCCGCGUGAGUGAUGAAGGCUUUCGGGUCGUAAAACUCUGUUGUUAGGGAAGAACAAGUGCUA
rnacentral:rRNA from 1 species